GAUGAACGCUAGCGAUAGGCCUAACACAUGCAAGUCGAGGGGCAGCACAAGGUAGCUUGCUAUCUGGGUGGCGACCGGCGCACGGGUGCGUAACGCGUAUGCAACUUGCCCUAUACAGGAGGAUAACCCGUCGAAAGACGGACUAAUACUGCGUAUGCUCACAACUUGGCAUCAAGUGGUGAGGAAAGAAAUUCGGUAUAGGAUAGGCAUGCGUCCCAUUAGCUUGUUGGUGAGGUAACGGCUCACCAAGGCAACGAUGGGUAGGGGAACUGAGAGGUUUAUCCCCCACACUGGUACUGAGACACGGACCAGACUCCUACGGGAGGCAGCAGUGAGGAAUAUUGGGCAAUGGGCGCGAGCCUGAACCAGCCAAGUCGCGUGAAGGAUGACUGUCUUAUGGAUUGUAAACUUCUUUUAGACGGGAAUAACAAGAGUCACGGGUGACUCAAUGAAUGUACCGUAUGAAUAAGCAUCGGCUAACUCCGUG
rnacentral:rRNA from 1 species